AGCACCGCCGGGUAGCCGCGUCUGGCAAGGAUAAGUGCUGAAAGCAUCUAAGCACGAAGCCCCCCUCAAGAUAAGAUUUCCAUAUAGGGUCGUCAGAGACGAUGACGUCGAUAGGUCGCAGGUGCAGGGACUGUGAGGUCUAUAGCCGAGCGAUACUAAUCACCCGAACCCUUUUUGGU
rnacentral:rRNA from 1 species